rnacentral:rRNA from 1 species
GAUGAACGCUGGCGGCGUGCCUAAUACAUGCAAGUCGAGCGAACGGACGAGGAGCUUGCUCCUCUGACGUUAGCGGCGGACGGGUGAGUAACACGUGGAUAACCUACCUAUAAGACUGGGAUAACUUCGGGAAACCGGAGCAAAUACCGGAUAAUAUAUUGAAGCGCAUGGUUCAAUAGUGAAAGACGGUUUUGCUGUCACUUAUAGAUGGUUCCCGGCGGGUUUAGCUAGUUGGUAAGGUAACGGCUUACCACGGCAACGAUGCGUAGCCGAACUGAGAGAGUGGUCGGCCACACUGGAACUGAGCCGCGGUCCAGACUCCUACGGGAGGCAGCAGUAGGGAAUCUUCCGCAAUGGGCGAGAGCCUGACGGAGCAACGCCGCGUGAGUGAUGAAGAUCUUCGGAUCGUAAAACUCUGUUAUUAGGGAAGAACAAAUGUGUAAGUAACUAUGCACGUCUUGACGGUACCUAAUCAGAAAGCCACGGCUAACUACGUG